UACGUAGGGUGCAAGCGUUGUCCGGAAUUAUUGGGCGUAAAGAGCUCGUAGGCGGUCUGUCACGUCGGCUGUGAAAUCCCGAGGCUCAACCUCGGGUCUGCAGUCGAUACGGGCAAACUAGAGUAUUGCACGGGAGACUGGAAUUCCUGGUGUAGCGGUGAAAUGCGCAGAUAUCAGGAGGAACACCGGUGGCGAAGGCGGGUCUCUGGGCAAUAACUGACGCUGAGGAGCGAAAGCGUGGGGAGCGAACAGG
rnacentral:rRNA from 1 species